rnacentral:rRNA from 1 species
GACGAACCGUGCGAACGUUGUUCGGAUUCACUGGGCUUAAAGGGCGCGUAGGCGGAUUCGCAAGUCCGGGGUGAAAUCUUUCGGCUCAACCGGAAAAGUGCCUUGGAUACUGCGAGUCUUGAGGGAGGUAGGGGCCGCGGGAACUUCCGGUGGAGCGGUGAAAUGCGUUGAUAUCGGAAGGAACGCCGGUGGCGAAAGCACUCUGCUGGGCCGACACUGACACUGAGAGACGAAAGCUAGGGGAGCGAAUGGG